rnacentral:rRNA from 1 species
GAUGAACGCUAGCUACAGGCUUAACACAUGCAAGCCGAGGGGUAACGAGAGGAAAGCUUGCUUUCCUUGUCGACGACCGGCGCACGGGUGAGUAACGCGUAUCCAACUUGCCCCCAACUAGGGAAUAACCUUGCGAAAGUACGACUAAUCCCCUAUAAUAUCCUCAGAUGUCAUCUGACGAGGCAUAAAGAUUUCUCGGUUGUGGGUGGGGAUGCGUCUGAUUAGCUUGUUGGCGGGGGAACGGCGCACCAAGGCAGCGAUCAGUAGGGGUUAUGAGAGGAAGGGCCCCCACAUUGGAACUGAGACACGGUCCAAACGCCUACGGGAGGUAGCAGUGGGGGAUAUUGGUCAAUGGGCGGAAGCCUGAACCAGCCAAGGAGCGUGCAGGAUGACGGCCCUGUGGGUUGUAAACUGCGUUUAUACAGGAUUAAAGUUAGCCACGUGUGGUUAUUUGUAGGUACUGUAUGAAUAAGGACCGGCUAGUUCCGUGCCAGCAGCCGCCGUAAAAC